UCCUCGUACUGGUGGCGCCAUCUCGUCGC
rnacentral:sRNA from 1 species